rnacentral:rRNA from 1 species
UACGUAGGGUGCAAGCGUUUAAUCGGAAUUACUGGGCGUAAAGCGUGCGCAGGCGGUUGUGCAAGACAGAUGUGAAAUCCCCGGGCUCAACCUGGGAAUUGCAUUUGUGACUGCACGGCUAGAGUGUGUCAGAGGGGGGGUAGAAUUCCACGUGUAGCAGUGAAAUGCGUAGAGAUGUGGAGGAAUACCGAUGGCGAAGGCAGCCCCCCUGGGAUAACACUGACGCUCAUGCACGAAAGCGUGGGGAGCAAACAGG